rnacentral:lncRNA from 1 species
AAAUAUUAAAAAAAAAAAUAAAAGGGAAGGAGUGAUACCUUUGCCAACAUAAGAAAUGGAGGAGUCUUGGGGGAGUUCAUGAGGUAUGCGGUCCUUACUUAUCUCUUACCCACAGGAGACUCCUCCCCAGGAUUCUCCAAGGAAAUCGCAGCGGCCCUGGCUGGAGUGCCUGGCUUUGAGGUGUCAGCAACUGGAUUGGAGCUGGGGCUUGGGUUGGAGGAUGAGCUGCGCAUGGAGCCACUGGGCCUGGAAGGGCUAAACAUGCUGAGUGACCCCUGUGCCCUGCUGCCCGAUCCUGCUGUAGAGGAUUCAUUCCGCAGUGACCGGCUACAGUGAGGGAACCUUGCCACCAUCCUUCUCGGCCCCAUCUCCCGUCACUGUCCCUUUCCUCCCUUUCCCCUGGCCAGUAACGACUCCACUCUCUGCCCCCGUGUUCUCUUUCUAACAUGAACAAAGGAUCCUAAGAAUGAGAAAAAGCAAGGGGUUUGUCCAGGUGGCCCCUGAAUUCUGCACAAUGGGUAGGCCUGGGGGAGCCCAAGGGAGGGCCUAAAGCACUUGUAACUUUGAAAAACGUCUGUCUGGAGGUCAGAGCCUGUUGGAAAGCAGGGGUAGAGGGGAACCCCAGAGGCAGGGCUUACCCAGAUGCCUAGGGGUGGGCAGUGCCAGCCCCUCCUCACUACUCUUCUCCUUGCAAUGGAGGAAAAGAGCCAGAGUGGAUAUUAUUUUUUAUUAAAUAUAUUAUAUGUUAAUAAAAAAAUCCUGUCAAACCCUUGGUGUGGUUGGCUGCUGUUUGGGGUGUGGCUGGGAUCUAGGAAAUUCUUGAGCCAGGGGCCCUCUUAUCUGCUAAGCUUGUUGCAUCUUUUCAGUACUAUCGUGCUUUGUGGAAGGGCCCCAGCCUCACAAUUUGUAUCCAAGAUUGAACACGAAGACCUGUGAAGGGUGUAAGCUUCCAUGAUGGCAGGAAGACAUGUCCUGUGCCCUCAAGUUUGUCUAGGACUCUGCUGCAUCAGGAGACUUGGCCAGACAAGUUGCUUCCCUUAGCCUGAGGCCUGGAAGUGAGUUGCGGUUGAGGAGAUGGCUGCUGGCUGAGUUCACAGGUCUGAUUUUUCUGGUGGAAUGACCCCAGCUUUCCUGGGGUAGCUG